AUUGAACGCUGGCGGCAUGCUUUACACAUGCAAGUCGAACGGUAACAGGCCUUCGGGUGCUGACGAGUGGCGAACGGGUGAGUAAUGCAUCGGAACGUACCCAGAGGUGGGGGAUAACGCAGCGAAAGCUGUGCUAAUACCGCAUGUGAUCUGAGGAUGAAAGCGGGGGACCGCGCAGCAAUGUUUGGCCUCGCGCCUUUGGAGCGGCCGAUGUCGGAUUAGCUAGUUGGUGGGGUAAAGGCCUACCAAGGCGACGAUCCGUAGCUGGUCUGAGAGGACGACCAGCCAGACUGGGACUGAGACACGGCCCAGACUCCUACGGGAGGCAGCAGUGGGGAAUUUUGGACAAUGGGCGCAAGCCUGAUCCAGCAAUGCCGCGUGCGGGAAGAAGGCCUUCGGGUUGUAAACCGCUUUUGGCAGGAACGAAACGGUGUCCGCUAAUACCGGGCGCUAAUGACGGUACCUGCAGAAUAAGCACCGGCUAACUACGUG
rnacentral:rRNA from 1 species